CUCAAAGAAAGACCAGCAACAGCAGAAGCAGAGAGUCCACACAGGGACAGAUGCCAGGCAAAUGUCCAGGCUUUGUAGGGGGCAGCGAAAGAGUCAGAUGGCUUCUCCUCCAGACACUUUCCCUCAGGGAACUGGGUUUUUAUAUGAGAACACUUCUUGGUGACAGCCAUCAGGAAGCAUCGCCAGGACCAAACGCUGGGAAAUGGCUGAAUAAAUCAUCAUAUGUCCCCGCAACUGAACAUCAUGCAGCUAUUAAAUAGAUGUCUUCGAACUGGCAACUUGUGGAAAGAAUUGGUCCUGAGGCAUGGUGUCUAUAAAUGUUCCAUCUUUCCUGCCAAAUUUGAAGAUGGGAUUAAAUUAAAGAGAUGGUGUAGUUAUGUUAGAGUACUCAGGUGGACAUCAUGAAGACGCAGAUAGUGUGAAAAACUCCUAGAAGAU